rfam:Arabis alpina cultivar Pajares chromosome 1, whole genome shotgun sequence.
AACCCUUGAUGAGGACAGUCUCUCUGAUAUCCCUUGAACCUUUCCCACGCAGCUUUGAAAGCUUCUAUCGGACCUUGUACGAAUGUGGAGAUCUUAGCUCGUAGAUC